ensembl:snRNA U2 U2 spliceosomal RNA
AUCGCUUCUCGGCCUUUUGGCUGAGAUCAAGUGUAGUGUCUGUUCUUAUCAGUUUAAUACCUGCCACGUCCCCUAUCUGAGUACAUUAUAUAAAAUGGGUUUUUAGAGCGGCAGUUGGUUAGGGGCUUGCUCCGUCCGCUCCACGCAUUGACCUGAUAUUGCAGUACUUCCAGGGACGGUGCACCCCUU